CCUCCCUCGUGUUUACAUAUUUUGACAGGUCGAGUUCUUCUGGGACUAGGAACAAUGAUGAAUGAAUACCUGCACCAUGGAAACAAUGUCAUUUGCAAACUUUUUGAACCUGUGCUGGGCGUUCACAUUGACAUUUCUUGUUCAACAGGAAUACAUGAUGUCGACCAACAGUACAGCUAGAUGAAGAUAUAAAUGUAUUCAAAAAAAUAAUGGGACAAUGAAUGCUAAAAUUGCCAAGAAGAAGACUGCCAAUUUACACACCAUUUUAUACAGUUACAGUAUGAUAUGGUGGACAAAAAGCCCUCAAUGCAGCCAGUUCUGGAGCUUUGGUUAGACUAUGAACAGUAGACAUCAAAAG